rnacentral:lncRNA from 1 species
GAUUCAGGAGAUAGGAAGGCAGCUUCCCUGGGUAUGUGGCUGUACUUUAAUUGCUACUCAGAACAAAGCCUAUCUAGGCUGUGGAGUUGUGUUCAUAUUCCUCACUGAGAAAUUAAACAUCGUGGCUGUCCAGUAAAUAGAUUUCCCAAGCAUCUGGAUGGAAGCUCAAGCCUAGUGAAGUAUGACACAUCUGUAAGGAUUGCAACCAGGAUACCAAGGCUGUCUCACUUUUAAAGGUGUUAAUUUUGACCAGUGGGUUCAAGUGUUUUCAGGUGACAUAGCUACUAUUUAAAGUUCUACAAGGGGCUGGCCCGGUGGCCGAGUGGUUAAGUUCCCGCCUUCUGCAUCACCAGCCCAGGGUUUUGCCGGCUCGGAUCCUGGGCGCGGACAUGGAGCCGCUCACCAGUCCACGCUGGGGCGGCCUCCCACAUAGCACAACCAGAAGGAUCUACAACUAU